rnacentral:tRNA from 2 species
GGAAAGGUAGCUCAGCAGGUAGAGCAAGCGGUUGAAGCCCGUUGUUUGCGUGGGUUCGAUUCCUACCCUUUCCA